UACGGGGGGUGCGAGCGUUGUCCGGAAUCACUGGGCGUAAAGCGCGCGCAGGCGGCCCGCGAGGUGUCACGUGAAAGCCCCGGGCUCAACCCGGGAGGGUCGUGGCAAACCGGCGGGCUUGAGGCCGGUAGAGGUGGGUGGAACUCCUGGUGGAGUGGUGAAAUGCGUAGAGAUCAGGAAGAACACCCGUGGCGAAGGCGGCCCACUGGGCCGGUACUGACGCUGAGGCGCGAAGGCGUGGGGAGCGAACGGG
rnacentral:rRNA from 1 species